GCAUCGUUAGUUUAGUGGUAAAAUGUCUCGCUUCCAACGAGACGUCCCGCGUUCGAUUCGCGGACGAUGCA
rfam:Plasmodiophora brassicae isolate e3 genome assembly, contig: scaffold_1